AACCAUAUAGGGUGGGGGUGGGAGGGGGGGUCGAGGGAGAACCUGAAGGGGGCAGGGCAGAAGGGACCCCCGGAGCCCUGCCACCAUCAGAGAUCAAGCAUUUGGCAUCAGGGAUCUUCGGACCCAGCAGAAGGAUCAGCCACAAGGGAGGUGUCUUCCCUAGGAAGCCAACGAGAGAGUCACCUGCCCCACAUCAGGAACAGGGACCCCCCUCAUGACGCUGCUGGCAACCAUAGCAGUCCCCUAGCCCCUCAGCCUCCUUCCUAUUAUCCUCUUCUGACUUUUACCCCAUCUCCUUUGGCAUCUGUGCCUUUGCUCCCGCCCUCUGAGCUCCAGCGCUCCAGCUACCACCCAAACGCCCAGGGCUUGGCCACCCUGACCCUCAUCCUGGGAUAUUUGCCAGAUCCCUGGGAGGAAGAUCCUUUGCUUGGGCUAUGCCCCCUGGUGGCUUGACAGUGUCUGCCUAGACCCCUGACCCCUAGACCUCAACUCCCCAAGCCUCCUUUGUGUGAAGAGCCCUCCUCUGCUCGGCAGUGUGGUUGGGGGCCAAAGGGAAAGCCGGCCCCGCUGGGCCCCUGGGCCCUACCACCUGUCUCCUGGUUGGGCAGCUUCCCUUGUCUUUGGGCCUCUCCCUGCUCCCCCGGCCCCUCCUCCUGGGCCGCCCCAAUGAAGGAGCCGGAUGCCAUCAAGCUGUUUGUGGGGCAGAUCCCGAGGCAUCUGGAGGAAAAGGACCUGAAGCCCAUCUUCGAGCAGUUUGGUCGGAUCUUCGAGCUGACUGUCAUCAAGGACAAGUACACCGGGCUGCACAAGGGAUGUGCUUUCCUGACGUACUGUGCUCGCGAUUCAGCCCUGAAGGCCCAGAGUGCCCUGCACGAACAGAAGACUCUCCCAGGGAUGAACAGGCCGAUCCAGGUCAAGCCAGCCGACAGCGAGAGUCGAGGAGACCGGAAGCUCUUUGUGGGCAUGCUAGGAAAGCAGCAGACAGAUGAGGAUGUCCGGAAGAUGUUUGAACCAUUUGGGACUAUAGACGAGUGCACUGUGCUCCGAGGGCCAGACGGUACCAGCAAAGGCUGUGCCUUUGUGAAGUUCCAGACUCACGCUGAGGCCCAGGCAGCCAUCAACACCCUUCACAGCAGCCGGACCCUGCCGGGUGCCUCAUCCAGCCUGGUGGUAAAGUUUGCUGACACAGAGAAGGAGCGGGGUCUCCGUCGGAUGCAGCAGGUGGCUACCCAGCUGGGCAUGUUCAGCCCUAUCGCCCUCCAGUUUGGAGCCUACAGCGCCUAUACCCAGGCCCUGAUGCAGCAGCAGGCGGCCCUGGUAGCAGCUCACAGUGCCUACCUCAGCCCUAUGGCCACCAUGGCUGCCGUGCAGAUGCAGCACAUGGCUGCCAUCAAUGCCAAUGGCCUCAUUGCCACCCCCAUCACUCCAUCCUCAGGAACCAGCACCCCUCCUGCCAUUGCUGCCACGCCCGUCUCUGCCAUCCCUGCUGCCUUGGGCGUCAACGGCUACAGCCCGGUGCCCACCCAGCCCACAGGGCAGCCUGCCCCUGAUGCUCUGUAUCCCAACGGGGUUCACCCUUACCCAGAUGAGGCUCUGUCUGCUGAGAGAAGUGCUGGCGGGGUUCCCAAUAUGUCCCAGGCCCACUCAUGGCUUGUGAUGCUCUCUGCAGCCCAGAGCCCGGCAGCCCCUGUGGACCCUCUCCAGCAGGCCUAUGCAGGAAUGCAGCACUACACAGCAGCCUACCCUGCAGCCUACAGCCUGGUUGCACCUGCGUUCCCGCAGCCUCCUCCAGCCCUGGUUGCCCAGCAGCCCCCACCACCACCUCAGCAGCAACAGCAGCAGCAGCAGCAACAGCAGCAACGGGAAGGCCCUGAUGGCUGCAACAUCUUCAUCUACCACCUGCCCCAGGAGUUCACAGACUCAGAGAUCCUCCAGAUGUUUGUCCCUUUUGGUCAUGUCAUCUCAGCCAAAGUCUUUGUUGACCGGGCCACCAAUCAGAGCAAAUGCUUUGGCUUUGUGAGUUUCGACAAUCCGGCCAGUGCCCAGGCUGCCAUCCAGGCUAUGAACGGUUUCCAGAUUGGCAUGAAGCGCCUCAAAGUCCAGCUAAAGCGGCCUAAGGAUGCAAACAGGCCCUACUAAGGGCUUCAGGUGGGUGCUGCUCCUAUUCUGUGACUUCAAUGUCAGGGUCCACACACUGCAGCCAGACCGCUUACACGAAUGCCCUACCCUUUCACUACCACUCAUCCCACCCUGAUGCUGGACAUGAGGAAUUGGAAUCUGGGCCACUCCCCCAGCUAUUAUUGUUCAGUCAGUUGUGUCUCCCACCCACAUAUACAUGUGUGUGCAUAUGUAUAUAUAUAUAUACACACACACACACACAUGCCAGCAACAGCCAAGUCUACACCUGUGUCUGCUCCUAGAGUUUUCCACAGUAUCUGGUCUUGUUUGUCUGGUCAGCGUCCAUGUGUCUGUGUCUUUCUCUUUCUGGUUUUCUUUUGGGUUGGAUGGAAUUAGUAUUGUAGGUUUUGGGGGCCUGGAGGCUGGUUUGGAGAACUGGAGAGUCACAGAGCCGCUUCGUUUUGAAACCUGAUCUCCAGAGAGGUGGCACAGCAGUUCCAGUUCCCCGGAACUGCAGGUGGUUUUCUCAGGGCAGUGGACCUGGGGGCAGAACACCAGACAGAUGGGAGUGGGCGUGGCUUGGCUUGGAGGAGGAAGUGGAAUUAUACUGAGUAGCCCCUAGUCCACAGUAGGCUGCCUUCCAACCCCGGGGCACAGACUGGUAGCCCUACCUAACUUUGUUUAAUCCCCCUUGGACCAAACCUUGAAAAAUCACAACCCAAGAACAAUACCCACAUUUCUGUUUCUCCCCUUUCCCCCCAAUCCUGGCUGCUUAACUCCCCCCACCCUGGGGGCCCCCAGCCCAGGGUCCGUGUCCAUUGUCGGCUGAAGCCCCCAUCCCGGACCCCUGCUCCGGGCCCCUGUCUGGAGAUACCAGAGGAAGGGGCACUUCAUACCCUCUUCCUAUGACUGGCCCUGGCCUUCUCUGCACAUCUGCCCUGGACUCUGGGGCAAAAGCUGCUUCAUGGCCCUGAGGGCCCAGGACCUGGCUCACUCCCACCAUCUUGCCUCUCUGAAGGGCCAUGGUUUUGCCUCCCCGGCUCCAAGAGCCUAUUUCCUCCCCAGUGCCCUUUUGGCCUUUGUGAGGAAGCAAGGAAUAGGCUUGAAGGGUCAGGGGCAUCUGCCUUCUGCUAAGUCUCCUGAGAUGAGCCUCUGUGCCCACUGUUCGCACUUGCCUCCCCUCAGUGGGCCUGGAGUAGCUGUGCAGGCCCAGGAGGGCAGCAGGGCAUCCUCCUCUUUCCCAAGCGCCCUCACCCUAGCCUCCCCCACGGCAGGGCCUUCUCAGAAGCUGGCUCCCACAUUUCUCUCCACCCUCAGCUAGAGGUAGGAUAUCUCCAAAUCCCGGGCUCCCAGCCCUAAAACUCACUGCCUCCCCCAAGGGCCCCCUCCAAGGAGGGUGUGGGGGGGCCUGAGGGCUGCUUCUCUGCCAGUCAGUCACAGAGACCCUCCUUUUAUGAGGAAAAGACCUUUCCCUGAAUCCCUAAAAAUGUUUACAGUCUCUGCUGGCCCCUCCAUGUAAAUACCAUGACCACCAGGGCAUUACUCAGCCCACCCAGCCAGACGCUGCCAUCUCUCUGGGAGUUUAGACAAUGUUGCCCUUGGAUUUUUUUUUUUCUUUUUUGAUUUCUCCCUUUGCUUUGGGGGUAAUUGGGUAUUUGGGGGGAAGGGUAUGGGGAGGGCUAAAGGGGUUUAUUACCUGAUCAUUUUCUUUAGGGAGAGGUUUUAGGGAAAAGAACAUGGGGUGGGUGGGAGGGUAAAGGGCAAGAAGGGGGAUCCAUUUCUGACAGUUCUCUACGCUUAACUUAUUUAUUGAGUUUUACUUUUAAAGAGUCAGUCUUUUCUGUCUAAAUAAAGAAAGACGUUUGAAAGCAUCAA